ACUCGCCUACGGGACGCAGCAGUGGGGAAUAUUGCACAAUGGGGGAAACCCUGAUGCAGCGACGCCGCGUGAAGGAAGAAGUAUUUCGGCAUGUAAACUUCUAUCAGCAGGGAAGAAAAUGACGGUACCUGACUAAGAAGCCCCGGCUAACUACGUGCCAGCAGCCGCGGUAAUACGUAGGGGGCAAGCGUUAUCCGGAUUUACUGGGUGUAAAGGGAGCGUAGGCGGUUUAGCAAGUCAGAAGUGUAAGCCCGGGGCUCAACUCCGGGACUGCUUUUGAAACUGUUGAACUAGAUUGCAGGAGG
rnacentral:rRNA from 1 species